rnacentral:rRNA from 1 species
GAAAUGGAUAACUGUGGUAAUUCUAGAGCUAAUACAUGUUGAAGGGGUGCAUUUAUUAGAACAAAGCCGAUCAGGUUGACUCUGAAUAACUCACAGUCCUUGAACUGGCGAUGUAUCUUUCAAAUGUCUGCCUUAUCAACUGUUGAUGGUAGAUUAUGCGCCUACCAUGGUUGUAACGGGUAACGGAGAAUCAGGGUUUGAUUCCGGAGAGGGAGCCUGAGAAACAGCUACCACAUCCAAGGAAGGCAGCAGGCACGCAAAUUACCCACUCCCAGUGGGGAGGUAGUGACGAAAAAUAACGAGACGAUGCUCUAGUCAUUGGAAUGAGUACAAUCUAAAUACUUUAACGAGUAUCUAUUGGAGGGCAAGUCUGGUGCCAGCAGCCGCGGUAAUUCCAGCUCCAAUAGCGUAUAUUAAAGUUGUUGCGGUUGAAAAGCUCGUAGUUGGAUCUGAGCAGACAGCGGUCCUAAAUGAGUCGUGUUGGUUGGUAUACGGUGCUCUUCACUGAGUGUCUGUGCUGCCAGCUAUUUUACUUUGAAGAAAUUAGAGUGCUCAAAGCAGGCGCUUCUCGAAUAUUGGUGCAUGGAAUAAUGGAAUAGGGGGCUCUAUUUUGUUGGUUUUAGGAGCACAAGGCAAUGAUUAAGAGAAACAGACGGGGGCAUUUGUAUUGCGGCGUUAGAGGUGAAAUUCUUGGA